AGAGUAAAAUAGUACGUGAAAUUGUUGAAAGGGAAACGAUUGAAGUCAGUCGUACCGACGAGAAAUCAACUUAUCGUGUGCGAACUUGUGGGCGUGCGUGAGUUUCGGCCUCGCUGUUUGCAUGUUUGUGCGUUUUGGGUGUACUUUUUCGUAUGGUAGGCCAACGUCAGUUUCGAUUAUCAUAAAAUGACCGGCGGAAUGUAGCUUCGAUUUCGGUUGAAGUGUUAUAGCCUCUGGUAGAUGUGGUGAUUGAGACUGAGGAUUGCAACGAAUACCCUUUGGGCUAUCCGUCUGGCCUCUGAAAGUUGCUCAGGUGCCGAAAGCGUGCUUACGGUCAUCUAAGAUAACGUUCAACAGGUUAGAACGUGAUUACAUUCGUUAAGGAUGUUGGCGUAAUGGCUUUAAACGACC
rnacentral:ncRNA from 2 species